GUGGGGAAUAUUGGACAAUGGGCGCAAGCCUGAUCCAGCCAUACCGCGUGGGUGAAGAAGGCCUUCGGGUUGUAAAGCCCUUUUGUUGGGAAAGAAAUCCUGUCGGUUAAUACCUGGCGGGGAUGACGGUACCCAAAGAAUAAGCACCGGCUAACUUCGUGCCAGCAGCCGCGGUAAUACGACGGGUGCAAGCGUUACUCGGAAUUACUGGGCGUAAAGCGUGCGUAGGUGGUGGUUUAAGUCCGUUGUGAAAGCCCUGGGCUCAACCUGGGAAUUGCAGUGGAUACUGGAUCACUAGAGUGUGGUAGAGGGAUGCGGAAUUUCUGGUGUAGCAGUGAAAUGCGUAGAGAUCAGAAGGAACAUCCGUGGCGAAGGCGGCAUCCUGGGCCAACACUGACACUGAGGCACGAAAGCGUGGGGAGCAAACAGGAUUAGAAACCCCUGUAGUCC
rnacentral:rRNA from 1 species